UCACCCUGUGACAUACCUAUAACGUUGCCUCGGCGGGAACAGACGGCCCCGUAACACGGGCCGCCCCCGCCAGAGGACCCCCUAACUCUGUUUCUAUAAUGUUUCUUCUGAGUAAACAAGCAAAUAAAUUAAAACUUUCAACAACGGAUCUCUUGGCUCUGGCAUCGAUGAAGAACGCAGCGAAAUGCGAUAAGUAAUGUGAAUUGCAGAAUUCAGUGAAUCAUCGAAUCUUUGAACGCACAUUGCGCCCGCCAGUAUUCUGGCGGGCAUGCCUGUUCGAGCGUCAUUACAACCCUCAGGCCCCCGGGCCUGGCGUUGGGGAUCGGCGGAAGCCCCCUGCGGGCACAACGCCGUCCCCCAAAUACAGUGGCGGUCCCGCCGCAGCUUCCAUUGCGUAGUAGCUAACACCUCGCAACUGGAGAGCGGCGCGGCCACGCCGUAAAACACCCAACUUCUGAAUGUUGACCUCGAAUCAGGUAGGAAUACCCGCUGAACUUAAGCAUAUCAAGGCGGGGGAGAGAGAAAUUACCGAGGUUAAACCAACUCACCAACCUUGUGAACAUACCUAUAAGUUUGCCUCGGCGGGAAACAGACGGCCCUAAACAGGGGCCCCCGCCGAGGACCCUAACUCUUUUCUAUAAGUUUCUCUGAGUAAACAAGCAAUAAAUUAA
rnacentral:rRNA from 1 species